rnacentral:rRNA from 1 species
GAUGAACGCUGACAGAAUGCUUAACACAUGCAAGUCAACUUGAAUUUGGGUUUUUAACUUAGGUUUGGGUGGCGGACGGGUGAGUAACGCGUAAAGAACUUGCCUCACAGCUAGGGACAACAUUUGGAAACGAAUGCUAAUACCUAAUAUUAUGAUAAUAGGGCAUCCUAUAAUUAUGAAAGCUAUAAGCGCUGUGAGAGAGCUUUGCGUCCCAUUAGCUAGUUGGAGAGGUAACGGCUCACCAAGGCGAUGAUGGGUAGCCGGCCUGAGAGGGUGAUCGGCCACAAGGGGACUGAGACACGGCCCUUACUCCUACGGGAGGCAGCAGUGGGGAAUAUUGGACAAUGGACCGAGAGUCUGAUCCGGCAAUUCUGUGUGCACGAUGAAGUUUUUCGGAAUGUAAAGUGCUUUCAGUUGGGAAGAAACAAAUGACGGUACCAACAGAAGAAGUGACGGCUAAAUACGUG